GUUAGAAUCAAUUUUUUAGGGUUGAAAUUAUGAAUUCAUUAAGUAUCUACCACUGAAGUAUCAACAAACACAGGGCCGUAGCCAGGAUUUCAGAAAUACCAAAGUCCAAUUCCCCUAAGCUCAACCAUACCCACCUAACCCAUUUGUUGGCCACCAACAUUCUGGGAGAUUUCAACCAUUCUAAAAAAGAGACAAAUCCCCCAUUUUAUGUAGCCUAUUAUUUAACUUUUUGUAAUAAAAAUAAGAAUAAAUGUCACGGCAAACCUCUUUUUUGUCUGAAAACAAUCGAAAAGAAAAACAAAUAACCCCACUCGAUAUAUAGACAAACUGUUUAUCUGCAUGUAUUUUGCCUGAUGAAGGUCUGAAGAUGAUACGUUGUGUUCAUAAAGUGAGCUGGAAAGUGUACAGGAUUUUCUUUGGUUUUGAGGGAAGUGUUUGAUCCUGCACACUUUUCUACUAAGACUUUAUGGACCGUUAAAUUUAGACUAAAAAAAUAUCAGAAUCAGCCUCAUAAAAAAAAAAAACAUGUGUAAUUGUAGACUGUAAACUAAUUUCAUAAUUUUAUGUCAAAUACAAAAAACAUGACAUCUGUGGUCUCAAUGGUAGCCAUGGACCUGACCAAACACAAGGAAAGAUAAUUUGUGGUUCAAGGGCUUCAUGGAAACGUCCUACUUCACAACACAACAAAAAAAGAGAAAGUGUAGCUUUUUCAUGGUGCUUUACCACAUCUGCCCUUUCACUAUGUGAGAGAAUCACACAAUUCCAUAAGCAAUUAACUUGUGUAUUGAAGGGGUCUGAUGAGUUAUAAACCCUACUUUAUUAAUAAAGCUAGAAUGUAGCCACAACAUUCCUCAGUUAAAGCUCCCAUAUUGUUUAAGUUGUCAUGCUUUCAAAAAAUGUUCUCUCUGGUGUUGCAUGAAAGUGUAGCUAAAUUUGAAGUGUAUUUAUUUACAGACAUCAAUACAAAAUUCAGAUCUUCAUGGCGGAUAAUACCAACUUUACUGAUGAGCUAAAUUGGCAUAAUUUGCUUAGAAAAUAACAACAUAUCACAGUAUGGUCAAAACUCAGUUAAAUUGCAUCCUUUAAAGAAACGAUUCUUAUAAAUAUAAAUAAAAUUCUAAUUAAUAAUAGGUCUGGUCAUCAAAACCAAACUCUUCCAAUUUAGUAAAACUUUCUUUUUUCAUAAACCAAGCUGUCCCAGAACAUGUAUAUGCCAAAUGGUGACAUGGUUUAGUAGCCUAACUGGUUCUAAAAUCAAUGUAUGGUAUGCCCAGCUAAAACCUGUAGUAACUCUACCUUAAGUAAAGGAGGGAGUGAAAACUGAACGAAGACAGCCCAAGGUCUGACCUGUAGAGUGGAGGCUUUCCAGUUUAUUAUCCCUAAAAGUGACCUAAGGUAUUACGCAAUAACAAAGUCUCAUUUAAACACUGUGGUCCUACAUAGGGUGCUCUAACACUAAAAUAUGUUGGAUCUGUCACCUGCUAACCUGGUGGGACAAUAAAAGAGCAGAAGAGGCACACAUGCACUGUGUGCAGCUCAUUUCUCAGACCACCAUUAAUGGAUUGUAAGCGGCUCCUGAUGGCGGUGGUUUCCCUAUGUUGAGAGGCAGCCAUCUUGGCUCUAUGUGUUCAAACAGUGUUGGCCAAGGACCCCUAUCACCACAAACAGUAGAAGUAAGAUGUUCUGCUGGGUUGUGGGAAAGACUAUUUUCUCACAGUCUCUGGUCAAAUUUAAAUAACUAGAGAAACAAGGGAAUAAGCAGAAAGAUGGAAAUAAAGAAGCACUUUGGGUGGACUGAAAGAUAGCAGGUAGCCUUCUCAACAGAUGUGUUAAAAAAAAGCUGUGUUCUGGUACACUGGACAUUUGUCUUGUCAUAUCUCUAUUAUGCAUCUCAUGUGAACAUAAUUGUUAAUUUUGUAUGCUGUUUAAUUUAUUUUGAUUGCUCUGUAUUAAUAGGUAUUUGGGUUAUGAGACCAUGUUGGCCCACCACUUGGGCAAAAUUGUUUGAAACAUUGUAGGACUGGAUGGAUUACUGAACAGGCCUAUCAGGCACAGGCCUUGUGGGCGAAGGGAUAGGGGCUGGAUGCCCUGGGUGAGAUCCUGUUUAAGGUGACUGAUAAUACUUCAUGGAAAGUUAAUCAAAUCAAAACAAAACAAGCUCAACGACACUCUAAGUGACUUUAAAGAGAAGCAAAAUGCCUACAAAGAGACUGAAAACUACUACAAGGAGACUAAAAAAACUACUACAAAGACACACAAAAUGUCUACAAAGAAACUCAAAAUGACUACAAAGAGAAGCGAUGCAAUUAAAAGAAAUACAUAAAAUGGGGCCCAUUGUUUCAUAAUCCGUCCAUGUGUGUGAGUUUUUCAUUUUGUGGCUGACAUACAGUAGGGCUAUGACAAACGUCCACCAUCAAACCCAUUAUUGGCUUGUUCCCUAUUUAUUUUUUAUUUUAUCAUUUCUUAAUUAACAGAAAACUAAGAUUUGAUGACAAAUGUCCAGCCGUUUGCAGACAAAUCUGCACACUCCUCUUGUCACUGCUUCUGCCAAACUCACCAGCCAGAUAAGUGCAUCAGAUUUUCAAUAAGGGCUAUUAAGAUGAACAAGUCUACCCUUGGUAUUUGUGGAUUGGACAUUCUCAAAAUGUGGUCAUAUUACCAUUCAUCAUUGUCACAUUGCUAAGAGAGAAUAUUUUCUAUAACAAAGAACUUCAGACCUACAUUCUUUGUAUAGAUAUGAAUUCUUGACCCCUAAAUCUCAUCUGAAUUGGCCAUGUAUGCAAGAUUUUCCUGGUCCGCUACUUUAUUUAGGUCAACUAAGAUAGAUUUUGGUUCAUAUAGGCAGUAAAACCUUUUUGUUCAGCUUUUAUUAUCUUCACAUCAUUAUUGGGCACAGCAGAAAAAGUCAUUACGCACUUGAUGCAAAGCUGAUUUGAAAAGUACUAGGUAGACAGUAAAGCUGCAGUCCCUACAGUAUAUUGUUUUGUAUUUUGUAGCAUUUACAGUGUAUGCAGCCACGCUAACUGAACCCGAUAACUUAAACGGCCAUGACUGAAAUGAUGUAUAUGAAAUCCCCUGGCUGGUUAAAUAUGAGGUUUGGUUUGCACCACGUUGUGCUUUGUGUGGACCAAAAAUGUUUGGUAUCCAUACUCUGUUCAAAAUUACUCUAUGUCCUCACAGUCACAGCAAAAAAAAAAACCUCAUUGUUACAUUUUCAGACAUACACACAAUUCUCUGUAACAUUCUGGGAGAGUCUUAGCAAAUAACAGUAAGCCAAAAAUCAUAUAGAAAAAAAGGGCGUUUCUCAGGAAUACACUGUAUCAAGAAUCUGAGGGAAAGAAUGUUGUUGUUGAGAUGUUGUGAUGCUGCAGUAUGUAUUUUUCAGGAAAGUUUCAAAGUUUCAAAUAAUAGUUUCAAAUUAACAUGACGGAUACCUACAUUGCUACUUGAAGCCUGGAAGUAGAUUUGUCUGUCCUUUUAGUCUAAACUGUGUUCAAAUGUCCUUCCACACUGCACUAGGUCUCAUUACUUCCAGGAUGUUCUUCUUUUUGUAUGUGGUACUGUGAAAGGCCUUGGUUCUGAUAUUUUACAUCACUUGUCUUCCUAAAGGUAUAUAAGUACAGCAUCAGAAAUGUCAAAAAUAAUAAUAGCCUACAAUGUACUGUACUGUAGCUAUACCAAGGUGGAUGCAACUUCUUUCUGUCAUUACUUUUGUUGGUUUGAUUGCUUUCAGCAUUUUCCUAAUUGUUAACACUGUAGAAUUUGGUUUACAUGUCAUAUAUUUUGUAUUUGUAACACAUGCAAUUAUGAUGAAUUAUGAUCAUGAAGAUUAUAACAAUGGAUCGAUAAAAUGCUUUUGUAUUCAAGCAUGUAAUGAACAUAAAGAUAGCCUAUGCACGCACCAGUUGGGUUAAAGGCUUCAUGUCAUUGGGAUGUUGCAGAAAAACUGGUUUUAUGUCUGAGAUGGGGUUUGGGAGGUUUAGCGGAGGGUAGCAAAUGUUGUUAUUAAACUGUAUAUAAAUUAGAAAGAAGACUUUUAACCUGGUUAUAAUACCAUACAAUAACACCAUACAAUGAGACUAAACCCUUACUGUAGAUGUAAAAAGUAAAGGUUUUCUAGCAAUAAUUGAGUAUGUGGCUGAGCCGUCAACGUUGAUAGACAACAUUGCUGAUCAGAAUUGCACAUGCAACUGUCUAUCGCUGUCUAAAGGCUGUGCAAUUGAAGGGUUGUGCAAAAACA